rnacentral:tRNA from 1 species
GCAAUGGUGGUUCAGUGGUAGAAUUCGCAGUCUCCGUGUGAGAGACCUGAGUUCUAUUCCCGGCCAGUGCA